CUCCAGUUGUAUCUGCCAGUCAGAAUCCUGCAUCUGUCUUCCCUGCUUUUCCGUCAUCUGCUUUAGAGAAGCCUGACACAGCUGCAUCUUGAAUUUAGACUGACUGAGCCAGUUUUUAAAUAACAGGGCAUUGUUUUAACUCCCAUAAAAAUUUUAACUGUUUAUUAUACUGUUGAAAACAUAUUGUUCAUACUUGCGCGAAAACAUGCUGUUGAUACAUGUGUGUGUGUAUGUGUGGGGGGUCAGGGUGUGUCUUAAUGUACCUUCAUUAAGUUCCCCAAGACUUUGUUUUAUCGGAGAGGAAAAGGUACCCCAUUUCAUUCAUUGGUGUAAGGAUGUUUUCCAAGGUUUUUUUUUGUUCAAAAUAUGUCAUCAAGAUGUACUUGUCUAUAUAACAUAAAUUGAACAAAGUCAAGUUUGACUAGUUUAAGUAAGCUAGCCUUUUCACACUUAUAUUGAUACGUUUCUUCUUGAAUUUGGAUUGUUGUGGUGUAUCUACAGUAUAGUAGUAUUCUGUGUCAUUAGUGACAUUUUUGUUUCUGUAAAAAGAAUACAUAUAUAUAUAUAUAUAUUUAUGCAUUAAGAAAAUGCAGUUUAUGGUGUAAAAUUGUACAUAUUCCUUAAAUCCCUAAUAAUCUGUACUAAAUAUAUGUACAAAGAACAAUACUGUCUUAUUUAUGUUUUGUUUACAUAAUGUAUAGUUUUUUAAGUAUUUUAGUAAUUUUGGACCAGUGAACUGUUAGCAACGAUGCAGAAGAAUCUGCAUAUAAUAAACUGAGUUGCUGUAUUUCUUUGUUUGAAUACCAUUUUUAAAAUGUGUUCUUGUCCAUUGAAAUAAUACAUGGUAUAAAUGAAAGUAGUCCUUUAAAACUUUGUAUUAGAAUUGGGAAACGUCCAGAAGAUUUCACUUGUGCAGGCUUCACUCUAGAUGGAGCUUCCUUCCCUGUGUAACCCUGGGAGUGAGUGGCUUGACAAGUCUUGGAUGGCUCAUGGGCAGUAGAGCCAGGACAUGAAUCUAAGGCUUCACAUUCUGUCUCCAUAGUUCUACUUUACUUCUAUUUUGAGGUCUCCAUUCAAAAUUUUAUGGUUUCAGACAUUUUUUAAAAAAUAGAAAAAAAAUCACCACCAAAUUCCAUAAUGACAAAAAGAAAUGGGUGUUGUUUUUUUUUUCAGAUAAGUAUAUUUGGUUUAUGUCUAUGCAUUCAAAACAUGUUUCUUAAAAUUUUUUAAAAGGUUUCUCUGUGCCCCGAGGCAGGCCUGGAACUUUCUAUGUAGCCCAGGCUGGCCCUGACUCAGCCUCCCUAGUGUGCCAGGGUUAUAGACAUGUCUGGCCAUGUCUGGCAAAACUUAGUUUUUAAUAAUCUGGGUUCAUAAAAGGUUACAAAAGUAAUGCAGAUUGGUGGCGUUACCCUUCCCCUUCCUUCUCCACGUACAUUUCUGUUUACAUUGAGGGCUUGGUUCAUUGUUACUGGUCUUCCAAAUUAUGUUUAAAAACAUGAAUUUCUUUGUCAUUUGAAAUUAAAAGCGAGAGAGAAUAGCAGUGCUCUUUGGUCAGUGCUCUUUAGUCAGAUUAGAGAGCAACUGCUUAAGUUCUAUUAUGAAGCAAAUUUGGUGGCUCAGUUUUGACUCAGGGCUUGACUUUGUAGUGCAUCAGAAUGUGUCUCAUUGUAAAUAAAAGGUAGCUUUGCAUUUGCUGC
rnacentral:lncRNA from 1 species